CUAUAAUGCAGUCGAGCGGAAGAUGGGAGCUUGCUCCCUGAUGUUAGCGGCGGACGGGUGAGUAACACGUGGGUAACCUGCCUGUAAGACUGGGAUAACUCCGGGAAACCGGGGCUAAUACCGGAUGGUUGUUUGAACCGCAUGGUUCAGACAUAAAAGGUGGCUUCGGCUACCACUUACAGAUGGACCCGCGGCGCAUUAGCUAGUUGGUGAGGUAACGGCUCACCAAGGCGACGAUGCGUAGCCGACCUGAGAGGGUGAUCGGCCACACUGGGACUGAGACACGGCCCAAACUCCUACGGGAGGCAGCAGUAGGGAAUCUUCCGCAAUGGACGAAAGUCUGACGGAGCAACGCCGCGUGAGUGAUGAAGGUUUUCGGAUCGUAAAGCUCUGUUGUUAGGGAAGAACAAGUGCCGUUCAAAUAGGGCGGCACCUUGACGGUACCUAACCAGAAAGCCACGGCUAACUACGUGCCA
rnacentral:rRNA from 1 species